GGGGAUGUAGCUCAGUGGAGCAGCGCCUGCCUGGCAAGCACAAGGUCCUGAGUAGCAUCCCCA
rfam:Heterocephalus glaber contig30754, whole genome shotgun sequence.